CAGUCGACGAUGAUCCCAGCUUGCUGGGGGAUUAGUGGCGAACGGGUGAGUAACACCCGAUUAACCUGCCCUUAACUCUGGGAUAAGCCUGGGAAACUGGGUCUAAUACCGGAUAUGACUCCUCAUCGCAUGGUGGGGGGUGGAAAGCUUUAUUGUGGUUUUGGAUGGACUCGCGGCCUAUCAGCUUGUUGGUGAGGUAAUGGCUCACCAAGGCGACGACGGGUAGCCGGCCUGAGAGGGUGACCGGCCACACUGGGACUGAGACACGGCCCAGACUCCUACGGGAGGCAGCAGUGGGGAAUAUUGCACAAUGGGCGAAAGCCUGAUGCAGCGACGCCGCGUGAGGGAUGACGGCCUUCGGGUUGUAAACCUCUUUCAGUAGGGAAGAAGCGAAAGUGACGGUACCUGCAGAAGAAGCGCCGGCUAACUACGUGCCAGCAGCCGCGGUAAUACGUAGGGCGCAAGCGUUAUCCGGAAUUAUUGGGCGUAAAGAGCUCGUA
rnacentral:rRNA from 1 species